rnacentral:piRNA from 1 species
UUGUUGACAGAGCAGGAAGGUAAC